ACCCCAUCUCCUCCAUCGAUCCAGCUAGUUUGGAGGUCGCGUUUCCUUCCGGAUCAUCGCCUCUGCGCGGGCAACCUCUCGGUGGAGUUGAAAGGAGAUCCGAACCCUAGCCUUCGCCAUCUACCUUGCGGAGCCGUGCCACUCGAUCGCCGGUGUGGAAGAGCAAUUAGGGCUUCAAAGGAUUGAGGUUACGGGAUUGGAGAAGAAGAGUGAGGUUCUGUUCUGAUCAGAUCUUGGACUUCUCAUUGUUGCCGAUUGAAGUCUCAGAUUGGAGUAAGGUUAGGUUCUGUGGUUAUGAGGUGUAUCCAGCAGAGAGGUUGUUUGUUUUUGGUUUGGCAGCCACCUAUCCAUCAGUGAUCCAGCAUCAACAGCA